rnacentral:tRNA from 1 species
GGAGGGAUAGGUGAGUG